rnacentral:lncRNA from 1 species
GAACUCAAUAGUGUGGAUGCCUCCAGCAUCCACACAAUAAUAAUAAAUCCGAGGAAUAGUAAUAUGUGUGCCUCUUGGCAUAGGCACACAUAAUAAUAAUAAAUCCGACGAAUAGUAAUAUGUGUGCCUCUUGGCAUAGGCACACAUAAUAAUAAUAAAUCCGACGAAUAGUAAUAUGUGUGCCUCUUGGCAUAGGCACACAUAAUAAUAAUAAUAAUAAUAAUAAUAAUAAAUCCGACGAAUAGUAAUAUGUGUGCCUCUUGGCAUAGGCACACAUAAUAAUAAUAAUAAUAAAUCCGACGAAUAGUAAUAUGUGUGCCUCUUGGCAUAGGCACACAUAAUUUUGACCCUAUUUUUCUUCCUUUAAGCUGAUUGGUCAAUGUCAUGUCAAUCACAAAUUAAACAAUCCAAUCAGAGAACAGAUGGGUUUGGCUGUGGGGGGGUUGCUUUACGGACCUUCAGGUCCUGGAAGGGUAACACAGUUUGAAGAUGGAGGACGGCGGUGGCGCUUCUGCGGCGCAGGUGACUGUAAAUCAAGUGGACCUUGGUCUAUCUCCCUCCAGAACAGAGAACCUGGGAUGUACCUGUGACUCUUUGGUGGCUUUAGGAAGACAUGUUUUCCAAAACCUUCAAAAUAGGCUGGUGCAGUCCUACCAACAGCAGCCCUUGGACCUUGAUCAUAUUGAGUUCCUCUGCGUGAACGCAUCAACUCUAGUCUGUUCUCUUUCUGCUCAUAUUAAUGUUCCAUCACUGGUAGUUGAAGCUCUUCACCACCUCAUCUGCCUCAUCCAUUCCAAUAUGGAUGCAAGAAGCUUUUGGGCAUAUCGCAGAAAACAGUCCGACGAAGAAUGGAAGAGUGGGGCCUCUCAAUAACGGCAACCUACAGCUCACUAUCAGAUGAUGAACUUGACAACUUAAUUGCAGCCAUAAAACAGGAAUCGAAAGAUCUGG